rnacentral:rRNA from 1 species
UACGGAGGGGGUUAGCGUUGUUCGGAAUGACUGGGCGUAAAGCGCGCGUAGGCGGACCUGCAAGUCGGGGGUGAAAUCCCGGGGCUCAACACUGGAAUGGCCUUCGAGACUGCCGGUCUUGAGUCCGGGAGAGGUGAGUGGAACUCCGAGUGUAGAGGUGAAAUUCGUAGAUAUUCGGAAGAACACCAGUGGCGAAGGCGGCUCACUGGCCCGGUACUGACGCUCAUGUGCGAAAGCGUGGGGAGCAAACAGG